GGGCUUGUAGCUCAGUUGGGAGAGCGCUUGAAUGGCAUUCAAGAGGUCAGGGGUUCGAUUCCCCUCAGGUCCACCA
rnacentral:tRNA from 2 species